GUCCAGACUCCUACGGGAGGCAGCAGUGGGGAAUAUUGCACAAUGGGGGAAACCCUGAUGCAGCGACGCCGCGUGAGCGAUGAAGUAUUUCGGUAUGUAAAGCUCUAUCAGCAGGGAAGAAAAUGACGGUACCUGACUAAGAAGCCCCGGCUAACUACGUGCCAGCAGCCGCGGUAAUACGUAGGGGGCAAGCGUUAUCCGGAUUUACUGGGUGUAAAGGGAGCGUAGACGGCAGUGCAAGUCCGGAGUGAAGGCCCGGGGCUCAACCCUGGGACUGCUCUGGAAACUGUAAAGCUGGAGUGCGGGAGGGGCAGGCGGAAUUCCUGGUGUAGCGGUGAAAUGCGUAGAUAUCAGGAGGAACACCGGCGGCGAAGGCGGCCUGCUGGACCGUAACUGACGUUGAGGCUCGAAAGCGUGGGGAGCAAACAGGAUUAGAUACCCCGGUA
rnacentral:rRNA from 1 species